rnacentral:tRNA from 1 species
GUCAGGAUGGCCGAGCAGUCUAAGGUGCUGCGUUCAUGUCGCAGUUUUCUCUUGUAGGCAUGGGUUCGAAUCCCACUUCUGACA